rnacentral:tRNA from 1 species
GGGCUCGUAGCUUAGCCAGGUAGAGCAACGGGCUCUUAACCCGUAGGUCCCGGGUUCGAAUCCCGGCGAGCCCG